rnacentral:rRNA from 1 species
GUCGAACGAUGAUGCCCAGCUUGCUGGGUUGAUUAGUGGCGAACGGGUGAGUAACACGUGAGUAACCUGCCCCUGACUCUGGGAUAAGCGUUGGAAACGACGUCUAAUACUGGAUAUGAUCGCCGGCCGCAUGGUCUGGUGGUGGAAAGAUUUUUUGGUUGGGGAUGGACUCGCGGCCUAUCAGCUUGUUGGUGAGGUAAUGGCUCACCAAGGCGACGACGGGUAGCCGGCCUGAGAGGGUGACCGGCCACACUGGGACUGAGACACGGCCCAGACUCCUACGGGAGGCAGCAGUGGGGAAUAUUGCACAAUGGGCGAAAGCCUGAUGCAGCAACGCCGCGUGAGGGAUGACGGCCUUCGGGUUGUAAACCUCUUUUAGUAGGGAAGAAGCGAAAGUGACGGUACCUGCAGAAAAAGCACCGGCUAACUACGUGCCAGCAGCCGCGGUAAUACGUAGGGUGCAAGCGUUGUCCGGAAUUAUUGGGCGUAAAGAGCUCGUAGGCGGUUUGUCGCGUCUGCUGUGAAAUCCCGAGGCUCAACCUCGGGCUUGCAGUGGGUACGGGCAGACUAGAGUGCGGUAGGGGAGAUUGGAAUUCCUGGUGUAGCGGUGGAAUGCGCAGAUAUCAGGAGGAACACCGAUGGCGAAGGCAGAUCUCUGGGCCGUAACUGACGCUGAGGAGCGAAAGCAUGGGGAGCGAACAGGAUUAGAUACUCCUGGUAGUCCAUGCCGUAAACGUUGGGCGCUAGAUGUAGGGACCUUUCCACGGUUUCUGUGUCGUAGCUAACGCAUUAAGCGCCCCGCCUGGGAGUACGGCCGCAAGGCUAAAACUCAAAAGGAUUUGACGGGGGGCCCGUCACAAGCGGGCGGACAUGCGGAUUAAUUUCGAUGCAACGCGAAAGAACUUACCAAGGGCUUGACAUACACCCGGA